CUGCUCCUCACUCACUGCGCAGCCGCACAGCCAGUCCGUCGUGACAACAGUGUUUCCAGGGUACGGAUACUAUUGGCACAGCGCUGCCAUAUAAAUCCACCUAGAAUAAAAACAAAAAACUGACUUAAGCGCUUGAGCUUCACAGUCCCUAUACAAUCAGCGUGAGACGCUACAGUCUACACUUCAAACAUGCCGAGUAAUAAACACGACAAACCCGAGAUAAGCGACAACGUCAAGGUUGUUGUGAGAUGUCGUCCACUCAACCAGAAGGAGAAACAGAUGGGCAGCAAACAGGCCGUCAGUGUGGACGAGAUCCGAGGGACCAUCACCGUUAACAAACUAGAAACUCAGCAUGAACCGCCCAAAUGCUUCACCUUCGACACUGUGUUUGGGCCAGACAGCUUGAUGUUUACAAUCUCACAGCCCGACCUAUCAUAGACUCAGUCUUAGAGGGUUACAAUGGAACUAUCUUUGCAUAUGGGCAGACUGGCACUGGUAAAACGUUCACCAUGGAGGGCGUAAGGGCAGUGCCAGAGCUCAGGGGCAUCAUUCCCAACUCUUUCGCUCAUGUCUUCGGUCACAUCGCAAAGGCAGAGGGUG